UAGGUAAUAAGCUAUUCAUUAGAAUAUACUGUAUAUUAGACAUGUCAGGGGGGAUGGCAUGACGAGUCAUUGAGAGUAUACUAAACAACAAUGACAUAUUAAUGUCAUUAGAAACAGCCUUAUCAUCCUCGCCGUCAUCUUUUACCCCACCACAACCACCACGAUCACCAUCAGCAGCCAAUUGUACAACUCCUCAGAUAUGCGUGGACGAAGUACGCCAGAUCUUCCAGCGACCAGCACCAAGAUUUCAAUUUGCCAGGAAUUUUUCCUGCGAAGCCUCAGCUGGCGCUGUAAACUCCCGUAGAAGGUAAGUCCAUUAACAUUAUUUUCUAUGAAGUGACUUGCUAUGAAGUCUGAUAGCUGGCAUACAUUUUAACGUUAGUGGGACUGUCAUAAAAUAAAUGACCUGUAGAUGUCAAUGUAGGCUUAAGGUUAACGUUAAAUAUGUAGCAGCAGGCUAGAUAGUGUGUAACUAAAUUAUAUUCCGGUGCACAGUAGGCUAAAUGUCCUUGUAUGUUAAUGCUGAAAGUGUUCAAUAAACAGUAAAUCUUCACUCCCUUGUCCGGACAUCAGCCUUUUAGUGACAUCACAUAAGCGUAUUGCUCGAGCUAGCUCAAAGUUUUAAAUCACACUGAAAAAGACAUUUGAAAAAGACCAGUAGCCAAUGUUAACCUGAAGCUAGUACCUGCUAGCAAAGCAGUGACGCUAGUCUAGAACAACACAUAGGUUAUAGAUAUGAAUGAUCAGUUGCUUUAUUUACUUUUUUUGUAUCUUUCAACAUGUCUACAGAAGACGUGUCAGAAGUGAUGGAGCAUCAAGAGAAGAGAAGUAUGCUUGCUGCCAUCACCUGGCCAUGGCACAGUGCCAAGGGGACAGCUGAGGCUUCAACUAAGUCAGAAUGGCCAUAUCCUCUCCGGGGUCAAUUUCAAGAAAGACUGGGAUGAGGCACAGGUGUUGGCGCACAUCCGACAUCUUUUUCAGACAAAAAUGACCGAAUAUACACACUCUUAGGGAAGACAGGUACUUUGUAGCUGGAAGGGCUGUUGCUGUGUGCCUGGUCCAUGGUGGACCUCCACCAAAUUUAUUGUCAAACACAUUGUUUGAAAGCAUUGUCAAGGGCCCUGGGCAAACCUGUGUUGGAGGAUAUAGCUGAUUUUGAGCUACGUGAAAAAUUGAAAAGGGUUUCAGAGUCUGAAACCCUGGAGGACCUCAAAAAUGCCACAGGACCCCUACAGGACUACCUUGCCAAUGCAGGUUGUCUGAGACAGCUGACAAACAUUUCACACAAGGAAAGGCUGGUGGAGGAUGUUCUACUCUUCCAAGUCGUAAAUAGAGUCCGUGCACCAUUUGAAAGAUUCCGAGAAGGACUGAAGACCU